rnacentral:rRNA from 1 species
AUGCAUGAACCAAUAAGACGACAUUUGUUGAGAGCUCACCAAUGUCAAAAGACCCAGGUUGACAAACAGAGAGCUGAACGCAGUUUUGCUAUUGGAGAUAAGGUCUUUGUAAAAAUGCAACCUUAUGUUCAAUCAUUUGUGGUUCAUCGUGUAAAUCAUAAACUUGCAUUCAAAUUUCAUGGUCUUUAUUUGACUAUUGCCACGAUUGGUGACAUUGCUUACAUGCUGGAAUUACCAGAUUCUAGCAGAAUACAUCCAGACUUUCAUGUUCUCCAAUUGGAGAAGUAUAUUCUACUUGUGACUCAAGUUCAGACAUCUUUACCUCAUGUUGAUGAUGAAUUUCAAAUUCCUCUCAAAUUUCUCCGUCGCAGGGUUCAUCAUGUGGGCUCGAAGACUAUUCCUCGGGUUCUUGUUGAGUGGUCUUGUUCUCCUUCUGCUGAUGUAAGACGAGGAUUCAUUGAAGGAAACAUUUCCUUGUUCUAUGGCUUGGAGACAAGCCACUUCUCAAGAACCAUGGGGUGA